UUUCACUGUUUUGGAGGAGGAAAAAUAAUCAAAGCCCAAGUCAAAAGAAUGUUGAGGGGUCUUACAGUUGACAAAUCUCCUCUAGUGGAAUCUCAGGAAACUCAUGUAAGGAGCACAUGUGAGUUGGUGUGGAAGGCUGAGCCGGUGUGAGUGGGGAGAAACAGGGUUAGUACAUACAGACACCAGGUAAAAAAAAAUUUAGUGCUGCAGCUUUGACGCGGAAAACACUAGUGGCUGGGUGGGCCGAAGUUUAUCUAGAAAUGGCUAUAAUUUAUCAGAGCUGGUUACACUUCAAGGUAGUUGAAGACAAGAACUUUUACUCCUAAGAAAAAGGAUUUCUGUUAAAAUGUUUUCAAUCCCUGCUAGUGGCCCAAUAUAUGCCAUCCUGAGAACUCCUUACUAGAGAACUUCGAGACUCACUUGAGACCCAGGAGUUUCUGUCAGUAG
rnacentral:lncRNA from 1 species